GGGAGGAAGCCAAGAAGAACUGGGAUCCCCGGCUACUGGAGCUUUCGCCAUCGUGCAUCAUGGAGUCCAACUCUGAUAUUUUGUCCAGGGAGCACUUGAAGAGGGGAGAAGGGUGGGUGGAGAGUGGUCUUUUUGAAAACUGCAUCGAUGCACUAAUGCACUGAAAUCUGAGCUCUUAUUGGAUCUGAAGGGCAGCCUGAGACAGCCAUCCUCCAGCAUCUACCCCUGUUUAAAGGGAUUGCUUUCAUUCAGAGAAGGAGAGGCGAAAAAGCCUUCCAGCAGAGCCCAGUCCGGCUCAGCUCGUCUCCCCGUGUGCCCGUCUGCCUCGUCUCUGCUGAGGCCAGCUGACCGGUCCCUUCGGGCUGACCGGCCAACAGGCAGACCGGCGGCUCUCCUGUACCAGCGCCGGUGGACCGUGAUGCAGGCGGGAGCAGCCGACUGCCUAGUGGCCUCUGACAUUUGCUGUGGAAAAGAGGGGAUGCGCUCAGCCCUCUUGUUCUGCUGCGAUGGAGCUUCAGGGUCCUGACCUGCCUGUGAAAGGAAACAGUCAAGAUGAGACCAGCACCUUUCCACCAUCGCCACUUCAAGCUUCUACACCACGCCUCAAAGCCAUGUGAUUUAAAACUAAACACUGAAUGACAUAAUUCACUCAGAGGAAACAGGUUACAUUUUUACAAAGAUAAUAUCACCGGUAAACACUGUGGACCAAGUUAGUACAUCAUUUGACCUAUUGUCAUCUGGUUAACAAAUCUUAAAGAUUAGUAAAUUGCACACUUCCUUGAACUGUUUGAAGUUCAGAAGAAAAAUGUUUGUCUGGAAAACAUGAACAAACAGUUUUGAGAAAUGUCUUCUUUAAAAGGCGAAUCCAAAUGUCAGAGAGACAGAUACACAGAGAGCGCUGCCUUCUGGGCGUCGAGCAGAAAAUCUUCAGAAUAAUAUUUUUUCCCAGUUGGAGCGAACUGCAAUUACCCGUCAUCAAACAUACAAAGCAGAGUGUUUGCACUCUCAUAGCCUGGAGAGGAACAUGGUCACUGUUUGCAAAAUCACACAAAGGAGACUCAGGAAAAGCAAUGUAGGAGUGUUAUUGAGAUCAGAUUUACUGGAUUUAUGUUGCUGUGAUUAGUCAGAUAAUAAAAUCCACUGACAGCUUAUUUAUAAACUAUUGUGUAUAAAGGAGUAGCUCCAAAUUCUGAGGUGUAAAUUUUUUGUAACAUAAUGGUAAACAUAUAACACAAAGUGAGAUAUGAACUUUUUUUAUCUUUAUACAUUUUUUAGACAAAGAGUGGCUCAAAAUUACCAUGAAUAAAAUGAAACACUUCAUGCUAUUAUAUUUAGGUUUUUUCCUUUUCUGAUUCAUGACACAACAGAGGAAUGUAUACAACGCUGUACUUAAAUGGAAGGGAAAAUAUUGAGAUUAUUAAUUAGGUUCAUUAAAAUACUGACAUAUACGUUUUAUUCCUAGCUUCUCUAAGAAGUUGACAUAAAGGCUGAACUUUAGCCGGUGCCGUAGCACAGAGCUGCACCCUGCUUGACUGUUUUGACAGAUUUUUUUUUAAUGAAAAACGGAUUCACAAAUCCAAUAUUUUAUAAGCCCAUGUAACUUUGAAGUGUUUUAAUUUAUUGAAUUUCUGUGUAUGCAACCAACAAACAAUUUGAAAUCACUCAUCUCAUAGCCCCACCUUGAUUGUAAGCAUGUUAAACUCAACAGUAGUGAGCCUUAAGUGCAUUCUGUAUACCUACUUAUUUGUUUUUGACAUUUUUCUUUUACUGUUUUACUGUUUUACAUUGCCACAUACAGGCCUGGUUAAUUACUGACUGUGUUCUUGAUAAACAUGUUUGAAAGGACAACUUAUUUUAGAAAAACUCUCCAGAAAGAAGUUUGUGUACCAAGAGAUUGAUGCUUCAAUCUUGAGCUGUGAAACAAGUCUGAAUGUUUGUACCUGUUUUUAAAAUGUAAAUGUAAAAUCUGAGUAUUGGUAAAUGACACUUCAGAAUAGCUAUCACUACUGGUGUGACAACGUUUCAGUUGGUUUAUUUAUUGGUUUUAAAUCUUUCUGUAUUCCCUGUAUUUAAGAGAGACAUAUUUUUUCUGGAUUUUUUGAAGUACUGGUCAGCGAGGAAGACUCCAAGCUAAGUAAUCAAAUUUAAAAAGUUCUAAUGUUCACAGCUCUUUAUAUAACUAAGUCUGUGCGCUAAUAUGGAAUAACAAAUGAGUUCAAUAUUGCAUCCGUGAUAAUGUUGUUUUUUUUUUCCUAACUUGUAAAACAAUGAUCUCAUGAAGAUUUACAUCAAUCCACGGCUGUCUGUCUGUAGUUUCAAUUUAGUUUUUAUAAAGUACUUGUUAUAAUUCUUGAUGUUUGUCCUUUAUAAAAGUAAUGCAUUUUAUGAAAUAUGAUACAUCUUUGAAUAAUUUGCCAUUUAAGGGAAUUUGCACUGUACACGCUUAUUUCUUUUGUUAGCU